GGCCACCUGCGGACGCACAGUCGAGGGGGCUAACACAUAGGGUGGAUCCUCCACCCGUCUGCAAACGGAAGACAGAA
rnacentral:ncRNA from 1 species